GUUUGGAUCCAUUGCUGGUGAGCUAGUGUGAUGUUUGGGGAGUGUUAAAGAGCCUUGUUUUGUCAUAUUACCAGAGUUGGUUUUCUGGCUCCUCCUCAUUUGGGUAGGCUCUAUCAGAGAAAAGAUCUAGGGCUGAAGGCUGUUGUUUAGACUUUUUUGUUCCAGAGGGUGUUUCUUUGAUGUAGUAUUCUCCCUUUUUUCCUAUGGAUGUGGCUUCCUGACAGCUGAGCUGUAGUAAUUGUUAUCUCUCUUCUGGAUCUAGUCACCAAGAAAGUCCACCAGGCUCCAGGCUGAUAUUGGGGUUGUCUGCACAGAGUCCUGUGAUGUAAACCAUCUGUUGGUCUCUCAACUGUGGAUACCAGCACCUGUUCUGGUGGAGGUGGCAGGGGGGUGAAAUGGACUCUGUGAGGGUUCUUAGCUUUGGGAGUUUAAUGCUCUAUUUUUGUGUGGUUGGCCUCCUACCAGGAGGUAGUUCUUUCUAGAGAGCAUCAGCUGUGAUAGUAUGAAGAGGCACCGGCAGUGGGCCAGCACCUUGCCUGAUCCAGAUCAUCCUACCAUCCUUCCUUGAAUGGAACACCACACUGUGGGCCUGAGGUCUGUCUUUCAUAACAGCCACCAACGGACUGGAUGAUGGAAAGCAGAACAGCAGAGAUGGUAGUUCCGCCUCAGGGAAACCCUGGCCAAUGGAAAAUGGAAGACAGAAGACAGCUGAACAGAUACAUUCUCCCUCCUCUCUCGCUUCCAUGGACUAAUGCUGGCUGUGGUAUUCCCCUUGUAGCCUUUCCGGAAAAGUACUGGGGUCCAAGUGCAUGCAUCUGAUGACCACCAUGCUGUCUCUCUCACCUUAUAAUGAAGUUGCCACAACAGAGUCACAUACACACAACACAUUGUUACAAUACAUCCCAACACGUUCUUUCACAUCUGCUCUUGCCUCACUUUCCACGUGCUCUUGCCUCAAUUUCCACGCGUCCCUGCCAUUGCUGCCCUGGACUUACCUUCCAAAGAAAUGUUAUCACUUUAAUAUCAGACACUGGCUCUAGUUCUAGACCUCCAAAGCUAAGAUAUUCAUUCA
rnacentral:lncRNA from 1 species